GCCCGGCUAGCUCAGUUUGUAGAGCAUGAGACUCUUAAUCUCAGGGUCAUGGGUUCGAGCCCAUAUUGGGCU